UGGGGAAUUUUCCGCAAUGGGCGAAAGCCUGACGGAGCAAUACCGCGUGAGGGAAGACGGCCUAUGGGUUGUAAACCUCUUUUUUCAGGGAGGAAUCAAUGACGUGUACCUGAAGAAUAAGCAUCGGCUAACUCCGUGCCAGCAGCCGCGGUAAGACGGAGGAUGCAAGUGUUAUCCGGAAUCACUGGGCGUAAAGCGUCUGUAGGUGGUUUAAUAAGUCAACUGUUAAAUCUUGGGGCUCAACCUCAAAAUCGCAGUCGAAACUAUUAGACUAGAGUAUAGUAGGGGUAAAGGGAAUUUCCAGUGGAGCGGUGAAAUGCGUAGAGAUUGGAAAGAACACCGAUGGCGAAGGCACUUUACUGGGCUAUAACUGACACUCAGAGACGAAAGCUAGGGUAGCAAAUGGGAUUAGAUACCCCAGUAGUCCUAGCCGUAAACAAUGGAUACUAGAUGUUGAACAGAUCGACCUGUGCAGUAUUAAAGCUAACGCGUUAAGUAUCCCGCCUGGGAAGUAUGCUCGCAAGAGUG
rnacentral:rRNA from 1 species